rnacentral:rRNA from 1 species
AGCAGCCGCGGUAAUUCCAGCUCCAAUAGCGUAUAUUAAAGUUGUUGCAGUUAAAAAGCUCGUAGUUGAAUUUCGGGAUCAAUGUUUCGGUCAUGCCCUUGGUAUGUACUGAUAUUAUUGGUUUCUCACCUUCUAAAGAACCGUAAUGCCAUUAAUUUGGUGUCACGGGGAAUUAGGACUGUUACCUUGAAAAAAUUAGAGUGUUUAAAGCAGGCUCACGCUCGAAUACAUUAGCAUGGAAUAAUGAAAUAGGACAUCCGAUUCUAUUUUGUUGGUUUCUAGGAUCGAUGUAAUGAUUAAUAGGGAUAGUUGGGGGCAUUAGUAUUCAAUUGUCAGAGGUGAAAUUCUUGGAUUUAUUGAAGACUAACUACUGCGAAAGCAUUUGCCAAGGAUGUUUUCAUUAAUCAAGAACGAAAGUUAGGGGAUCGAAGACGAUCAGAUACCGUCGUAGUCUUAACCAUAAACUAUGCCGACUAGGGAUCGGAUGAUGUUAAUUUUUUAAUGACUCA